UACGUAGGGUGCAAGCGUUGUCCGGAAUUAUUGGGCGUAAAGAGCUCGUAGGCGGUUCGUCGCGUCGGCUGUGAAAACCCGGAGCUCAACUCCGGGCCUGCAGUCGAUACGGGCGGACUGGAGUUCGGCAGGGGAGACUGGAAUUCCUGGUGUAGCGGUGAAAUGCGCAGAUAUCAGGAGGAACACCGGUGGCGAAGGCGGGUCUCUGGGCCGAUACUGACGCUGAGGAGCGAAAGCCAGGGGAGCAAACGGG
rnacentral:rRNA from 1 species